GAUGAACGCUGGCGGCGUGCUUAACACAUGCAAGUCGAGCGGAAAGGCGCGGCGUUUGUGGGGUGGUCGAGUGGCGAGCGGGGGAGUGACACGUGAGUAACCUGCCCUUGACUGUGGGAUAACUUCAGGGGACUGGGGCUAAUACCGGAUAGGAGCUCCUGCUGCACGGGGUGCAUUGGAGAGUGUCGGCGGUAGGGGCUGGACUCGCGGCUUAUCCGCUGCUUGGUGGGGUAGUUACUGACCACGGCUAUGACGGAUAGCCGGCAUGAGAGGGUGAACGGCCACAAUGGGACUGAGAUACGCAGCAGAAUCCUACGGGAGGCAGCAGUCGGGAAUCUUGCAGAGUGGGCCGAAGCCUGAUGCAGAAACGCCGCGAGCGGGAUGCUGGGCUUCGGGUUGUAAACAGCUUUGGCCUGUGACGAAGAGUGAGUGACGGUAAUGGGUAAAGAAGCACCGGCUAACUACGUG
rnacentral:rRNA from 1 species